UUUCCCGAACAUCACAAGACUGCCUUCGAGGUCCCAGAAAAGGAGACAGAAUCAAGCCGACAGGUCUUGGUCACCAGUUAGUUUUAUACAGAUAACGAGCUAUGAAGGCUUACGCUAUCUUGGGUCUUCUAAUUCUGGGCCAUUUGUGCUAUAUUCAAGCGGCCACGCAGAGCAAGCCAGCAACGAGCGCGGACGAAACCACGAAGUCGCUCACGGAGAAACUUUCCUGUUCCUUCCUGGAACACCGUGAAGAACUGCUGGAGGCUCUUCAGGGAAUCGACAGCACAGGCGACAAAACUGACGAGCAGGUCCUUCCAGUCCUUCUUGUGCCCAUAAUCACGGCCAUUGCUGAAGGCCUCAUAUCGGGAGCUGUCGGAGCCGGCGUGGGCAUCGCAGUUAGCAAAGGCUGAAUGCAUCUCCCUGAUCUCACAAUAAAUUCUUCCAAAGACUCAA